UGCCGCGGAACGUUUUUGGUGACGAGCUAAGUACAGCCCGUCGUUAAAUGAGCCCUUGUUCCCCUUCUGCGGUUCGUAGUGAUACCCUGCCCAGCACCGCGGGCACGUAAUACGCUCGAGCACCGGGUGUACGGGAUGACCACGAUUUCCAGGCCACCGUUCGUCAUAAAUGAAAAUUAGUGUCAAACUCGAAAAGUGCAGUAAGACGCGCGCGAGCGACGAGGCGCGAUAUUGGAACGGUGACCGCGCUCGCCCCGAUUCUCCGCUAUACGUCGCCGUACUCGGGUCGCCGCGACGAGGUUAUGUCGCGCGUUCGUCCCUUGCCGUCGUCCCCGACGCAACGCGCGCGCUCGCAGUGAAUAGAAAUUAAUCUGUGAUUUGUUAUUUGUAGUGCUAAAACCGAGCCGGAGAGGUUAGGCAAAGAUCUGGCACUCUCCUCCAGUGCAGUGUGUGGCUUCACCGGAGAGCGUCCACCAGGUGUUUGCCGCUCCGGAUCUACCUCACGAGGAGAAAGAGAGUGUGCUUCACUUCCCACGUCCGCACCUACCGACUCGGCUGCACACAGAAAGAGGAAAGUAAUGGAGAAGCACCGGUCAGUGGUUGAGGAAUCUCCGCUGAGCUCAGUCAACAGAGGAACUGAGGACGGAUGUCGCCCUUAGGAUAUCCACGACCACGUCACCCUUGCUCCUGUCACUUAACUCACCGCUAGGCUGUGAGUACGCAGCGUAUAGUCAAUACUCUUCCUAUUCACUAACAAAUUUAACCAAAUAGUGCUCUGAAUUGCAAGUACUACUAGGAAACUGGAAGGACACACACUGGAAGCCUGCUGCACCGCUACAAAAUAUAAUAACCUCCCAGACAGCAACUGUCAAAGUGACAAGUCACCGCUGUGGAGAUUAGGUAUGUUUGUGACCCUGUGACAGGCAAAGGUAUUAUUGCAGCUGCACAGAAAAAGGCAGCGACGGUCACAAGCAUCCAUGCAACUAAAUAAAGCAGUCACAGUGCAGCAGUGGCCCGGAGAUAUGUAGGAGAGAGAAAAACUACUGCCAUAUAUUGGUCGCUGACAGUAGUCGCAGACUCACUGCUGACUCUACACACCUGCACAAAAAAAACCAGUAUCUAUAAAACAUGCAUGUCAUUGUAUGUCACCGCUGUUUCUAUUAGUGCAACAUUGAUGUGCCUCUCAUGGGUUUUCUCAUUGGCACCAUAAACUUUCACUACUGUUUUUAGCGAACAAACCAUGUGUGCGUGAAAGUCGAACGUUAUUAUAACAUAAAUUUAGACUUUAACAUGUGACGUGCCAGCGACAACCGUCAUACGUCCAACAAAUAGUUUUAAGGUCUAAUUAACAGCUACCUCCGCCUAAUUAAUUUAAAGUAAUUAACAUCGGUAACACUAAUUAGCGCACCGCGUGCCAAUUAAUUAGUAGAUAAAUAAAUAAAUGCCGUUAUUAGCAGG